CUUCUGUGUCCUAAAUAACUUGGGAGUUACCAGUCUUCUUUAAGGAUCUGGUGUUCUAAAAGGUUUCUAAAGAAUUUUAUGAGGUUUUUAUUACUUAAUUGACAAGAAUUUAUUAGCUAGAGUGGCAAGUAAAUAAGGACGUCUUAAAAACAAAAAGUUGUUUUACUUCCCAUUUCACUUUCUCUCUCUCUAGCUGUUUUCCUUCACUAAUAUUUCCAAAACACACAACAACAGUUGGCAUCGCUCGCAUAUAAACAGCUCUUCCAUGUCACUGAGAAAACGAGCAAGAUCCAGGGAGGAAAAAUGGAUACAGGAUAUAAAUAGAAAAUCCUCAAAACAGGAAUUUCAAAAUGUCAACAAACAGGCAAAACUUUCUUUCAACAGCGCUAUUAUGACUGGUAUGUUUCACUUGCUUUUUUUUUUUUUUUCUUUUUCUCCAGCAAAUUGCUCAAAUGUCGGUGUGCUCUCAUGAACAGAAACGAUGGCACGGUGGGUCCUGGUCUCAAGACUUCCUCUCAAUGAUUCAGAGGUCUUGGGGGUUUUUUGUCUGAAUAUCAGGCAAAGAGGAAGGACGGCUACAAUGGAGGAGUCUCCUACCACGCUUGUGGUCGUCACUGUAGUGCUCAGUUGAAUGGUGUGUCCAUUGGGGUUGGAGUCCCCAUCCUGUUCUGGGUCCUGGCCCCCCACAGGCUCCAGGGACAUAACCCUUCCAGUUCAGGAUCAUGUGCUGGGGCACUGUUCCCUGAGGUGGGACUCUGGGCUGUAACAGCUGCUUUUGAAGCAUGUUCCAGCUUCAACCACGUGCUUGGACGACACCAGCUCUUCCCACAUACUCUUCCCCAGCUCUUGUGUUGAGUUUGGCUUCCACCUUCCUCCAGCUGUAGAGACAGGGUUUCUCCAUGUGGGCCAGGCUGGUCUCGAAAUCCUGGCCUCAAGUGAUCUGCCCUUCCUCGGCCUCCCAACAUGCUGGGAUUACAGGCUCUGCCUCCUCUGUCGAAAAUUCAAGGCAGGCGGAAUGCAGUGCUGCCCCUGACACACACCACAGUAGCGACUCCAGUCUUCAUCUGAGAUGAUGGCACAGACAGUGUUUCACUCUUGUUGCCAAGGCUGGAGUGCAGUGGCGCCAUCUCAUCUCCCUUGCAAUCUCUGUCUCCUGGGUUCAAGUGAUUCUCCUGCCUCAGCCACCCUAGUAGCUGGGAUUACAGGCACCCGCCACCACGCCUGGCUAAUUUUUUUUUUCAGUAGAGGUGGGAUUUUGGGGUUUCGCCAUGUUGUCCAGGCUGGUCUCAAAUGCCUGGCCUCAGACAUACACCCACCUUGGCCUCCCAAAGUGCUGGGAUUACAGAGACCAUGAUGUUUUUUACUUUCAGCACAGUAUUCAAUAGAUUACAUAAAAUAUUUAACACUUGCUUGUGCUGAAUGAUUUUGACUAACUGUAGGCUAAUCGAAGCGUUUUGAGCAUGUUUAAGGUAGGCAAAGCUAAGCUAUGAUGUUUAGUAGAUGAGGUAUAUCAAAUGCAUUUUCAACCUAAAAUAUUUUCAACUAACAAUGGAUUUAUUGUGAUGUAACUUUACUGUAAGUUGAGAAGCAUAUGUACGUGUGUAUACAGAUACCUAUAUAGAGAGAUAUCUAUAGAUAUAAAUAUAUAGACAGAUUGAUGAUAGAUAGGUCAAUAGAGCAAAUCUUGCUUUAGGAAAAUCUGAAACAUCUUAAUAUCCCUUGGAAACAAGAUGGUGUAGUAAGCUGUUCCGGCAUCACUAUAAAGAAAUAUCUGAGGCUGUGUAAUUAGUAAGAAAAGAGGUUUAGUUGUCUCAUGGUUCUGCUGGCUGUACAGGAAGCAUAGGGCUGGCAUCAGCUUCUGGGGAGGCCUCAGAAAGCUUCCAAUCAUGGGGUAAGAAAAAGGGGGAGCAGGUGUCUUACAUGGCAGGAAUGGGAGCUAGAGGGUAGGGGGAGGUGCCUCUGGAUUUAAACAACCGGAUCUCACAAGAAAUCACUCACUGUUGCAAAAACAGCACCAAGGAGGGAUGGUGAUAAGCCAAUCAUAAGAAAUCCACCUCCACGAUCAGUCACCUCCCACUCAUAAGAAAUCCACCUCCAUGAUCAGUCACCUCCCACUCAUAAGAAAUCCACCUCCACGAUCAGUCACCUCCCACUCAUAAGAAAUCCACCUCCACGAUCAGUCACCUCCCACUCAUAAGAAAUCCACCUCCACGAUCAGUCACCUCCCACUCAUAAGAAAUCCACCUCCAUGAUCAGUCACCUCCCACCAGGCCCCGCCUCCACGAUCAGUCACCUCCCACCAGGCCCCGCCUCCAACACUGAGGAUAACAGUUUAACAUGAGAUUUGGGGGAACGAAUAUCUAAACUAUUUCAAUUAAUAAUGGGCUAAUAAAGCCAAGUCAACUCUUAUGGGAACAUCAUCGGACGCUUGUCAAGAUAUUAGGGAAGAAUGCUGAGAGAGGGGGUGGAGCGGGCACACGGAAAGAAACAGAGAUGGGAGCACUCUCCACCCUCACAGCACCAUGAGGGAAGUAGCCUUGACCUUGAUAUUCCCACAGGAACUCAGGGUGCUGAGCUUGUAUUGCCGACAUCAUCAUUUUUCUGAACAAGCCUGGGUAAGUCUCUACUGCCUGUAAACAAAAGAGGCGUGGCUAGAAUGAAAAUCAUGCUAGGUGAAGAAUCGUGAUGCAAAUUGGCUUUUAUGUAUUAGGCCAACUUUGUAAAAGAUAAGCACACAAGAAAGAAAACUAGAAGCAUGGCCAGAAAAGAUAGCAUCAGUUCCACUAGGGUGGGGGGAAUAAUGGGAGCUCUCCUCCAAUCUUUUCCAAACUUUCUGUAUAUUAAUUUAAUAAUGAAAAUAGUUUUGAAAAGAAGGCACAGUAUAAAAUCUUGUGAAAUCCAACAGUGGAAGUCAUUUUCCAGAUUGAUAUAUUGUCUGUCAUUUUAUAGACCAAUAAAAUGAAGACAUCCCCUAGUGCACUUGGAUGUCUCUACAAGGCUUUUGGUGUUUGAAUAUUCAGGGGUACAGAAAAAUGUAAGGUGUUAGCAAGCACUGCUCACCGAUACUCAGACAGAAACACAAAUAAAUCAUUCUGAAACGAUGGCAAAGGGCAGGGUGUGUGACCUUAUAUUUAAAAAAUCUUAAUUAAAAUAAGUAAUAUUUCUCUUAAACCAGUAGAAGCAUAUUUAGAGAUUUGAGUGGGAUCUGCGUCUUAGAACAUCUGUAUAUGGUGACAAAAUAAGAGUCAGUGAAAGAAUCAGUUAAUUGCUUUAUUUGGAUUUAAUGGGUGUUUUGUUUUUCAGACUCUUUUUUUCUAUCAAUUAAUUUAUUGGUUAAGCAUUUUAUUAAAAGGUUAAAAGUAACUUAAUAAUUUGUGUUUGGCAUUAAUUAAAAGUAUACUUGGGUCAUGCAGCUAAUAAUCCCAUGUAUUAGCCUGGACGCACCAAUAAGGACACACACAUCCCCAUUGCCUCCUCUCAUUUUUCCGGAGAAUGCUCUUCUUUCCUCUCCAGGUUCUACUCCCGCGAGACCCUCAUGAAGUCCUGAGGUUGCCUCUCGUGCACGUUCACAGGGAGCUGGAAAGCAGACAUACCCCAUGAGGCUGGAGGACUUCAUCAGUCCCAAGAAACACGUGAGGCCUCUCAGUAGGAUGCUGCAGGGCAGAGACCUGGUUCUGUAGCUGACUCCAAGCCUGGCUAAGGAGCCUCUGGGCUGUGGAUACACCACCUACAGCUGCUCAUCAGGUGCAGGGCACCAGAUUCCCAAAUUCUGCUGAGGUUUUUACUCUGGUCUGUCACUGACACUGGUGCAGAACUGGUCCUGAACAAAGUCACUGUUUUACUUUGUCAAGGAUAUUUUCAUGCCCGAAAUGAGCUCAGGUGCACUUCAAAUCUUCUCCCACAGCCACUGUCCCCAGGACACGGGGCUGGAUACCCAGGUUGAGAGAGGCUCCAGCACGCCCACACCACGGACCCAAAGCCAUCCUACUUCAACCUUCAGGCUUAGGGUGAGGCCCUACUCACUGGGUCCUGUUUCUUUCCACCCCAACUGUGACUCCAUUUCAGAUGCUUUUGCUCCACCUCGGCCUUUGUGUGAGCCAAAUCUGUCCACCUCAGGGAGUUUCCUUAAGUCUGAAUUCUCAAGGAAGCCUUUGGGAUCUCGAUCUUUUCUGCGCAAAAUGCCUUAAUUUUGGCCGAGUGAGGUGGCUCACGCCUGUAAUCCCAGCACUUUGAGAGGCAGGGGCGGGUGGAUCAUCUGAGGUCGGGAGUUGGAGACCAGCCUGACCAACAUGAAGAAACCCCGUCUCUACUAAAAACACAAAAUUAGCCAAGCAUGUUGGCGCAAUGGCUGUAAUCCCAGCUACUCGGGAGGCUGAGACAGGAGAAUCGCUUGAAUCCGGGAGGUGGAGGUUGCCGUGAGCCAAGAUCACGCCAUUGCAUUCCAGCCUGGUGCACUCCAGCCUGGGCAAAAAGAGCAAAACUCCAUCUCAAAAAAAAGGCUUAAUUUCUUUAUGUGAAUUACCUCUCCCAGUAACCAGAAUUCUAAGCAAUUUUCUUGCAGAAUAAAAUUAAAAUUGUAUUAAUUCACUAAAUAUUCCAGUCAAUCUAAAUUGAAGAGGCCAGAAGACCCUGUGGGCGUGUUGUGUGCUUUCCUUGGGCAUCCCUCUUACGAACUCUUGGGAUGGGACUUAUCUUCUUUCCUGGGCACAGCAGACAAAGCGUCUGAAUCUGGGGGUGGUCAACCUCCAAGAAGUUAAUAAUUGCCCUUUAGUGUGAGAUUCAGAAAAGCACAGUGCCUGGAGGGACCUAAGAAAGAACGUUUAGUUCCUGCAGACCACUGGGUUCCCGGAGGCCCCUCUACUCCUCCACUGCUUCCUCCCUCCCCCGUUGGGGCUCAACUACUGAGAAGGUUUUGUCACUGUGUUUUAGGCUUGUUUUCUAGAGGAAGCAUGCGAUACAUGGCAUUAAAAUAUUUGUGCCACAAUCCAGAAAAUUAUGAGUUCAAUAAACCUUUCAGUAUAGCAAUUUUCACACCACAAAAUAAAAAGAAAUGAAUUAUAAGUGAAAACAUGAGGUAUUUGGACAUAAAGAUGGGAACAGUAGACACCAGGGACUAGUAGGGGAGAGAGGGAGGGAGAGAGGCAUGGGCUGAAAAACUACCUGUUGGGUAAAGUGCUCACUACCUGGGUCACAGGAUCUGUAUCCGAAAUCUCAGCAUCAUACAAUACACCCAUGUAACACACCUGCAUGUGUAAAUAAAAUUGAAAGGAAAAAAAGUAACUACUUAAAGGUGAACUAUUAGAACAUAACCCAAUGAUAAGCUGGGACUAACUGCUGUCCACGAAGCAUAGAACCAUUCAUGGACUAGAUCAUUUUCUUGGUGAUGAUCUGUCUGAAUAUUGAGCUACAAUACUCAUUGGAGGAGAUCUUUCAGAAGGCCCUCUGACACAGCCACUAGGUCAGGCUUUUUGAAAAACUGAACUGGGGAACACACUGGAUUGGAUGCACCCAGCACGUAUGCACACAUUGUAUGACUAGAAAGCAGAAUACUAUAGCAUAUAGUUCUUUAUUUGAAUUGUCGUUUUCCUUGUGAGCAUAAAUUCUAGGAUUACAGGCACAAUUUUAAAAGACAUCUAUCAAUAUUGGACUGGCAUGAUCCUCCAUGUUUCAGUUUACUCCAUAUCCUGUUAUUAGUUCUGUAAUGGUAUAUAUCAAAAUUUACAGUGGCCUCAUAGGUAGGUGUCCAGCCAUUUUCAGAAGUCUUUGUCUUGAAAUUCUUGGAUGAUUUCUAAGAUUUAAUUUAUUUUUAAAUGCUUGAUUUCCUUCUAUGCAUAUAAAUAUAUAUAAAUAUUGUUUAUACAUAUACAUGCGUGUAUAUAUGUGUGCAUAUUUGUAUUUUUAUGUACAAACUUAUAGACACACACAUAUACCUUAACUUGAGAGAAUGGAGAUUUCAGCAGAGAAAAUUGUAGAGACAUGGCCAUGAGACGUGUGUUUAUUUGUAAAUGACCUUUGAUCCCUUCAAAUGUAGAGAAACGUAAAGGACAUUUGAUGGCCAUAGACUUGGAAAGAUUUUUUUUAAAUACAAUCAUCUUGCUAUAUUUUGGUCUUUGAAAAAAGUCAAUUUUAGCACAAUGGAGAAACAUAUUUGGAAGACAUUUAGGCUGUGAAAGCUGAGUUUUGUUGAUAUUUAUGGGCAGAGAAAACUUCCUUUUUGACUAUUGUUCUG
rnacentral:lncRNA from 1 species